rnacentral:rRNA from 1 species
UGGGGAAUUUUGGACAAUGGGGGCAACCCUGAUCCAGCCAUGCCGCGUGCGGGAAGAAGGCCUUCGGGUUGUAAACCGCUUUUGUCAGGGACGAAAAGGUUGUUGUGAAUAGCGACGACCGCUGACGGUACCUGAAGAAUAAGCACCGGCUAACUACGUGCCAGCAGCCGCGGUAAUACGUAGGGUGCGAGCGUUAAUCGGAAUUACUGGGCGUAAAGCGUGCGCAGGCGGUUGUGUAAGACAGAUGUGAAAUCCCCGGGCUUAACCUGGGAACUGCAUUUGUGACUGCUCAACUAGAGUAUGUAAGAGGGGGGUGGAAUUCCACGUGUAGCAGUGAAAUGCGUAGAUAUGUGGAAGAACACCGAUGGCGAAGGCAGCCCCCUGGGACAAAACUGACGCU